rnacentral:rRNA from 1 species
GCUCAGCCCUUAGCAUAGACAGUUAAACCACAAUACUGUCCGCCAGAGAACUACAAGUGAAAAACUAGAAACUCCAAGGACUUGGCGGUGCUCCAUACCGACCUAGAGGAGCCUGUCCUAUAAUCGAUAAUCCACGUUUCACCUCACCACCUCUUGCAAGUCAGCCUAUAUACUGCCGUCGUCAGCUUACCUUAUGAAAGAAACAAAGUAAGCAAAAUAGUAAACAACAAAAACGUCAGGUCAAUGUGUAGCAUAUGGGGUGGAAGAGAUGGGCUACACUCUCUACCACAGAACACACGAACAGUACAAUGAAAUAAGUACUCAAAGGCGGAUUUAGUAGUAAGACAAACAAGAAACUUUGACUGAAAUACGCUCUGGAGCGCGCACACACCGCCCGUCACCC